rnacentral:misc_RNA from 1 species
GUAGGUGAACCUGCGGAAGGAUCAUUAACACGUAUAUCCACAUACAAACCCUCCGUGCUCUUGUUACAUCCCUGUGGGAUGGAGUAUGGGUUCCGUACGGAUCACAUCAAAAUCCAUAAGUGAAAAAGAGGGGUGCCGCUGAAAAGUGGUGCUCUUGUUUCCGGGAUUCCGUCGAGCCCUGGGUCCUUACUUGUAAGGGUCCUGCCUCCGUCUCAUAGUCGUUCGUUUUUACUCCUUCACGGGAGUAAUU